UUUAUGGAGAGUUUGAUCCUGGCUCAGGAUGAACGCUGGCGGCGUGCCUAAUACAUGCAAGUCGAGCGAACGGACGAGAAGCUUGCUUCUCUGAUGUUAGCGGCGGACGGGUGAGUAACACGUGGAUAACCUACCUAUAAGACUGGGAUAACUUCGGGAAACCGGAGCUAAUACCGGAUAAUAUUUUGAACCGCAUGGUUCAAAAGUGAAAGACG
rnacentral:rRNA from 1 species